UCUUUCUUCCAAUACUAAGAAUGGCUAAACUUCGUGUAUGACAGUUUAAGCUCCAUUUUUUUGUAACAUUAGGCAUUAUUUCUGUGUGUAUAGAUGGAUCAUAUAGGAUUUUUGGUGAAGAGUCUGAAAGCAGUUGGAUAUAUCUUGUGUAGGGUAGUCCCUCCCAUUUAUUAAUUAAUAAAAUAUCAAAUAUAAUUUGAAAUGGUAAAGUAAUGGAUCUUGGGCCUAACUCAACCCCAAAAGCUAGCUGGAGAAGGGAAGAUUGUCAAUUCAAUAUAAGGAGAUCACCCAUCCUUUUAUAUCCACAAUGUGGGACUCUUCAGCCCUGCCUUCCUCACACCUGGGCUAGACAUAUGGUGUGUGACCAUCUGUCUAAAUAUUAAGCUAUUAAAGAGUACACUUUAUUAACUUCAUUAUAUUCGCGACACGCCGCCUCAUGUGAAUGUCUAAUUCUUUUCUUCAUGGCUCAAACGUGUGGAAAUUUUUUUUUUAUGAUAAUAGGUGGUGGUGAGAUUCGAUCAUGCGAUCUCUCCCUGCUUUGAUACCAUGAUAAAAAUGGAUCAUGAACCUAACUCAAUCACAAAAGCUUCUUAUUUUUUUAUAUAUGAUGUAUGUGACUAAUAUUGGAUGUGCAAGAUGUGGUGAACUGCAAAAUAACUGACUUUAUGAUGGUAAUAUAAAAUUGCUGACGUUAGCUUUUCUACAUGUUUCUUAUGGAUAUCUCGAGAGUCUGCAGGUAUUUUACUCUUUAAGAAGUAUGAUCACGUUCCUCAUUGAUUGAGAGUUGUGCUCUGUUGAAGUUGAGUCACGUGAUUCUUGAUUGACAAAUUGUUGCUCCGAAAUCUAAUUACCAUAUCUCUUGCUUGAAUCUUCAUUACUCGUCGCCACUUGACUUAAAAUAUAUCCUUUACUAAUCAAGUAGUCUCCUUCGAUAUAUUUUCUUUUUUCUUCUAAUGCUUGAGUUUACAAUUUGCCUACAUCUCACAACACAGAAGUGAUUUCUCAAAUAACAAUUUCACUGAAAUUACUUGCAAAUGAUUAAUGAUAAUAACAGAAUUCUACCCCUUUAUGUGCACUCAUCAGUGCAAGAAGUAUAGCAGAAAGUAGAUAAUUUACUCAAGCGCAUUAUUCUCUAUGGACUGCACCGGCUGUGCUAAACACACUUACUAUGUUUAUCUUAGCAAAACCAUGAUAUCCUCCCUAGGUUUCUAUGAUACAUAUACUGAAAUUGAUCCAAAGAUUUUUACUUGUGGCAGGUCUAGCCAAGCUUGAAUCUCUUAACAUCAAUUGUUGCAACUGCAUCAUGGAUUCGGAUAUGAAACCUCUUGCGGGUAUGCCUGCCUUGUUCUGCUAUAUAGAUAGCCUAUAUCUAUGUGAAUUAGAAGGCAGUAAAUUCGGAAAAGAAUUCGACAAACGGUGGGCAGCAAUCAAGCCUUAAUAUGUGUCUGCUCCUGAAAAAUUGAUGAUUAUUUGGAUUUUGGAAGCUUUACUUAACGAAUUGAAAGUCUUGAGUCUCCUUUUCCAUUGUCAAUCACAAUGAAUUGUUUGUUCUUUGAAGGCUAUUGAUGCCUAUACUUAUCAAAUUGGAAAAAAAUGAAUCUCUAUCAAUGCAUAUACUUUUAUCAAAAUGGAAAAAAUUAACAGGUCUUUAAGUAUGCGAGUUUCUUUUGGAUUGGUGCUUCUAUUUAUAUUAAGACAGGAGUGGUGAGGAUUAGAAAAUUCCAAUAUUAACAGGUUAUGGGAAAG
rnacentral:lncRNA from 1 species